AACGAACGCUGGCGGCAUGCCUAACACAUGCAAGUCGAACGAGACCUUCGGGUCUAGUGGCGCACGGGUGCGUAACGCGUGGGAACCUGCCCUUAGGUUCGGAAUAACUCCCCGAAAGGGGUGCUAAUACCGGAUAAUUUCUUCGGACCAAAGAUUUAUCGCCUUUGGAUGGGCCCGCGUUGGAUUGGCUAGUUGGUAGGGUAAAAGCCUACCAAGGCGACGAUCCAUAGCUGGUCUGAGAGGAUGAUCAGCCACACUGGGACUGAGACACGGCCCAGACUCCUACGGGAGGCAGCAGUGGGGAAUAUUGGACAAUGGGCGAAAGCCUGAUCCAGCAAUGCCGCGUGAGUGAUGAAGGCCUUAGGGUUGUAAAGCUCUUUUAACCGGGAUGAUAAUGACAGUACCGGGAGAAUAAGCGCCGGCUAACUCCGUG
rnacentral:rRNA from 1 species